rnacentral:rRNA from 1 species
CAUUAAAGAGUUCUAUAACUCCCAAACCCAUGUGAACAUACCUAACGUUGCCUCGGCAGGUCGCACCUACCUUGUAGCACCCUACCCUGUAGGGCCUACCCGGGAGGUGCGGGUAAGCCUGCCGGCGGCCCACCAAACUCUGUUUGAUAUUGAAUUCUGAACCUAUAACUAAAUAAGUUAAAACUUUCAACAACGGAUCUCUUGGUUCUGGCAUCGAUGAAGAACGCAGCGAAAUGCGAUAAGUAAUGUGAAUUGCAGAAUUCAGUGAAUCAUCGAAUCUUUGAACGCAUAUUGCGCCCAUUAGUAUUCUAGUGGGCAGGACCGUUCGAGCGUCAUUUCAACCCUUAAGCCUUCGUUGCUUAGUGUUGGGAGCCUACGGCAACGUAGCUCCUCAAAGUUAGUGGCGGAGUUGGUUCACACUCUAGACGUAGUAAUUUUUUAUCUCGCCUAUUAGUUGGACUAAUCCCCUGCCGUAAAACCCCCAAUUUAUCAAGGUUGACCUCGAAUCGGUUCAGACAAACUCGCUAAAUUGAAGCAUCUUAGUCAGCGAAGGAAAAGAAACCAACAGGGAUUGCCCUAGUAACGGCGAGUGAAGCGGCAACAGCUCAAAUUUGAAAUCUGGCCCUCGGGUCCGAGUUGUAAUUUGUAGAGGAUGCUUUUGGCGCGGUGCCUUCCGAGUUCCCUGGAACGGGACGCCUUAGAGGGUGAGAGCCCCGUACGGUUGGACACCAAGCCUCUGUAAAGCUCCUUCGACGAGUCGAGUAGCUUGGGAAUGCUGCUCUAAAUGGGAGGUAAAUUUCUUCUAAAGCUAAAUAUUGG